GGAGGGUGUGUGUCCUUAUCCACUGAGUUGAAGAUACUGAGCAUGUGUAGGGGGUUUGUGUGUACGUGUGUUUCUGAUAGAGAGGGAGAGGGAGAGAGAGAGAGAUUCCCUCCCCUUGUUUCAGUCCUUCUCCAGCUUGACUUCCAGCUGCUGUCACAUUCCUCGACACGUAGCUGAUGGUGCUUGCUUUUUUGUUUGUUUGUUUUUUUUAACAUUUAUGUAUAUUUUAAGUACCUGCUUCUGUGUGCCAUUGUGGCUGUGUGUGUAUGCAUAAGGGAGGAUGGAAAGUCUUUUAUAGGAUGCCCAUGCUGCACAGGCAAGGAUUCUGCUGUCAAGAAAGGGACUAUAAUCGCAGCAAGAAACGUUUGCGGUUUUAGGGGGUAUCUGUGGGGUUAAAUCUGGAUCAUCAAGUGGCUGGAUUCUGUUCUAAAGGAUGACAGAAGUGGCCUGUCCAGCUUUAAUCAUGGACUCUGAGAUUAUGUCCCAACCUGAAUCAGAUCAGAUUCUCCCAGUUGAACACAAGUCUGGACCUCUGGAUCUGAUUGACACAGGGAAGUGUCUCAAGGUCCAAACAGUCACACCUCAUCUGGUUAGCCUGGGCAGUGGAAGACUGAGUGUGGCCAUUACCCUGCUGCCGCUAAAAGAUGGUGUGACCCGCAUAGGGCGAGAAGAUGCCACAAUCCCUCAAGAUAUCACCAUCCAGGGCCCUGGAAUUGAGGCGGAACACUGCCUCAUCUUCAAUGAUGGUGGUGUUGUUACGCUGGACCCCUGUGGUCACCUCUGCAGUCUGGAUGGAGUACAGGUCAAAGUGCCCACACCACUCACACAGGGGUAUUCCUUGUGUCUUGGUAAGUCCUACUUCUUUCGGUUCAACCAUCCUGAGGAAGCAGGUAGAAUGAAGAGCAUGCUUCAUCAAAAAAGCCCUGUGUCCGCCCUCGCCUACAAUACAGACUACCUGAAGUUUAGCAGCGAUUAUAGCCAUUCUGUUGUUGGUGGGGCCAGCAGCACUCGGGGCAUGCGCUCAGCCUCCGAGCUCAGGGAUUUGAUGGACACCCUGCAGCGCAAAAAAAAAGCUCUGGAAAACAGCCUGAGAGCCAAUGGGAAUACCAACGCCUCGUACUUCAUUGUGACACAGUCUCCCCCCACCACACCCAUCACAUCACUUUCCUCAUUAGUCCAUCAGGAACAUGCAAAACGUUUCUACAGUACAGAUCGUCCUCCCUUGUCCUUGAAAUCUGUGCCUCCUCCCUCCCCAUCUCGACGUUCAGACCAUUCCUCUUUACUCUCACGUACUUCCAUUAGUCGCAACCAGGACAACUUGGGCACCAGUGAGAACAGACAUCUUCAUAACACAGGCUCUUCUCCAUUAUUGUCUACAUGGAAAGGCAGGGCCUCAUCCACCUCUGUAUUGGGUGGUGAUAAUUUACUCCUCUCUCUUCCGCCUCCUUCUUCCUCAACCUACUCUCCAUCAAACGGUGGCGCUGUAAGCAUGCCUUCAAGCCCCCGUCUUGGACGACGUAGCUAUGGUAGUCAUGAAGUGACACCAAGCACUCGAACAAGGAAAUACUCUGCUGGUUCUGUAAAUGGGAUGACGGGAAGCGGGCACAGUCGCUCGCUGCCUCGCCUCUGUCCGUCCCCAUCUCCCCGAGACAACAACAAUGGCAAUAUGACAUUAUCGACAGUGGAGCCGCAUUGCUCUGAUUAUUACAAAUUUAGCAAAGACCAUUACAAUGACAGCUUAAACACCAGUCUAGACCUCAACUACAACUCCAGUAACUCCAACCAGCAACCCUCAAAUAGGAAUCAAAUCAACACUACAACAAAAGGAGAGGGUGUCGUUUCCAUCUCACUCUCCUCAAUUAAGAACUCAUCCUGCAACGGGAUCACUUCCACCAAAAUAUCACCACCUGAUGUUACAAUUCCGUCCAAGACAGGGGGGUCCUCAUCCCCUCGUGUAGCCAAGAAACUCAGCCUGACUUCCACAAGCUCAGUGGGCUCCAUCAUUUCCACGAGCACUAGUCCUCCUGAAAUAGACCUUUCUUUAGGCGAAGGGGCAAAACCUUGGGUACACUUUGAACCGACCAGUACCCUGGGUUUCGGACGCAGUGAGAAGAGGUCAUCAUUUGGAAAAGCUGGAGUGACCUCACCAGGUGGCUUUAGGGAAAGACAGGGGAGUAUCACCUCACUGAGUGGGAAGGAGGAGCUGAGUGACUACCAUCAUCAUCAAAAAGAGGAGCGGCUCCGUGAGCAGGAGGUGGAGAGACUGGAGCGACAGCGUCUUGAGACCAUAUUGUCCCUGUGCUCAGAGCUGGACCACGAUGGUGGUGGCUCGGUUACAAAUCCAGCAUCUGCUGUGGCAGACCUCCAAAAGAUCAAUCAGGAGCUUCAGAAGCUUCAGCUAAAUGACAAUGAUAACGAUGAUGACACGACCUCCGUUUUCUCUGGACCCUCAGUCCUUACUAGCCCCACAGAGAACGGACUGAUUCCAGAGAAUGGCAACUACGACACAGAUCUUCUGGUACGACAGAGGCGCAGCAACAACAGCAGGGCAGAAUCGCUGGCUGUCAGUCUGUGCAGUUUUGCCCCAUCACCUUCACCGCUUGCACCGAGGAUAAACGAGGCACACGAUGAUGCAGUCCACUGCUUUAGACAGGAAGCCAGAGCCUCAGAGGAGGAAAUAAGGCGAGUGGAGGAGGAGAAGAUUCAGGUCCUAAACAACAUGGAGGAGCUGGAGCAAAAAAUUAAAGAUUUGGACAACCAAAUGGAGGAAUCUGCCCGAGAGGUGGAGGUAGAACGAGCCCUUGUUAAGGCGGAGCAGGAAUCAGAGUUAGCUUCCCUCCAGCAGGAAAAAGAUGCCGUGGAUGCACUUCACAACAAAAUAGAUGACAUGGAAACCAAAUCCCAACAUGAAAAAGACGAGGCAUGCGAGUUGCUGCAGGGAGAAAAGGGCAGAGUAGAGAGAUUGGCUCAGAUUGUGUAUGAGCAGCGCUCCCAGCUGGACAGCUGCCCUGAGGCCACCAAGGAGCCCCUGCAGGAGCAGCUAGCCAGGGACUUUGAGACACUUGAGAUGGAAAAAAAGCGCUUUGAGGACCUAGAGUUCCAACAGCUGGAGAGAGAGAGCAGGCAGGACGAGGAGAAGGAGAACCAGACACAAAUGCUUCUCCAAGAAAUUGCAGACUACCAGCGCAGCACUGUCACCCGCAAGGAGCGACUUUUGACUCUGAAGAAGCAAGAGGCAGAGAUUACAAUGCAGGCUGAGCGAGAGAGAGAAAACUUCCUGAAGGAAAGGAGCAACCUUGAAGCGAUGCUGCAAAGGGAGAAAGAACAUCUUGCACCUCUUGAUCGAAAAUAUGCUGACCUUACUGGUGGCCAAACUUACACGUUAAGAGAGCAUUUCCGAUUGCUGGAGGAGAGGAAGCAAUCUGGCAAGGUUGGCGCAUCCCAUUUUAGUGGUACGUUACCAAGGAAGAGAACAACAUCCGCCACGAUAUCUCAAUUCUCAAGUGCAACACUCGGACGCAGUUUCCCAACUAAGGCACAUCCACCAUUGGUACAGAGCACAAGCUGUGGCAGUAUUCUUCCCAGAAUUCUAUCCUUAUCCAGCAAGGAAACCGAAAGUAGACGUCUGCAAAAAGGUCAACCGAGCUCUCGAGCAUCGUCCCAGACUAACGUCUACCUCAAUGCCUUUGACUACCGUGACAACCAGACCUUCGACACAUUAAGUGUGGAUAGUACUGACUCAAUUGAAACCAGCAUCUCUGCAUGCUCUCCUGACAACAUCUCCAGGAGCUCAAAGGAUUACUCCCAAAAUACAUCCAGUCAUCAUCAUCAGGGAUCACACGCAGAAUUCUCUUCAUCUAAAACCUGGGGAACCCAAAGUUGCGUCCUCUUCCCGCUGCUCUUCUCACGCUACAUGAACUACUGCACCUCAAAGCACCCGGCUGUCAAACUCCAGAAGUUCACAGAUGACACCACAGUUAUCAGGCUCAUCGAAGACAGCGAUGAGUCUGCGUACCGACGGAGGCACACCACAGCAGCCCCUCAUGCUCUCGAACUGUCGUGUCAACCAUCGAUACCUUCAAGUUCCUGGGAAUUACAGUCUCACAGGACUUGAAGUGGGAGAAAAAAAAAAAACCUCUAUCCUUUCCAUCCAUCUAUCCAUCAAAGAAUGUACAGUGAAGAAAAUCUUGCGGCUUCUGAGGACGCAUGGCCUGGCAUGAGAGCUGCUGUAACACUACACAGGAAUCAUCGAAUCAAUGCUGUGUACUCCAUCACAGUCUGGUUUGGGGCUGCCUGCCACAAAAAAAGGACAAACUCAGACAGCAACAGACAAUAAAAACUGCUGAAAGGAUUGACUGCACCAUCCUACCCACCCUUGAAGACUUGCAGACCACCUGAACUAAGAUGAGUAGCCAGGAUCCAAUCAGACCCUCCACAUCCUGGCCACCAGCUCCUUCCCCCCAGUAGAUGCUACCUAACAAUGCAAACCUAAACUGGCAGGCAUUGCAACAGGUUCUUCCCUCUUGAAAUUAAAUUCUUGAACAGCUAACUUACAAUUCCACUGCAUCAUGCUUUCAGUUUGCAGUGGGUGGCUGUGUGCAAGGUUGGAGUGAGGUGAAUUGUUCUUGGAGAGAGAGCUUAUGAAACGCCACCUAUCAUUUGUAUCAGCAAGGUAAGGGCUUGGUUGUGUUGUUCAAAGAGGAUGCUCCGUUUGGUGAUUGUUUGGCAGAGGGGGUCCUUCUCCGCUGGGUGCAUGACGUAGUCAGACUUUGCUGUCACGGAUCAGGUUGAAAGGUGGACCCAGGUGCAGAGAGAACUGAGAGGUAAGGUUGUAAAUGAGUAUUUUUUGACCAGGAAGUGAACCAAGGAACUUAGAUGACAGUGGUCUUGUUCACGAGUGAGGGUAGAAUGGAGCGGGAGAUCGACAGGCAAAUAGAUGCAGUGUCUGGAGUGAUGCGGACUUUGUACCAGUCUGUUGUGGUAAACCGAGAGCUAAGUCGAUAGGUGAACAUCUCAAUCGACCAGUCAAUCCAUGUCUCAUCUAUGGUUAUGAGCUGUGGGUUAUGACCGAAAGAACAAGAUCCCGGAUACAAGCGACUGAAAUGAGUUUUCUCCGCACGGUGUCUGGGCUCACACUUAAAGAUAGAGUGAGAAGCUUGGUCAUCCGAGAGGGGCUCAAUGUCGAGCUGCUACUUCUCCGCUUUGAGAGGAGCCAGAUGAGCCAGUGGCUGGGGUAUCUGAUCCAGAUGCCUCCUGGACACCUCCCUGGUGAGGUGUUCCGGCCACGUCCCAGCUGAAGGAGACCCCAGGGAUGACCCAAGACACGCUGGAGAGACUAUGUCUCACAGCUGGCCUGGGAAUCCCUGGGAACCCCGCUGGAUGAAGUGGCUGGGGAAAGGGAAGUCUGGCUAUACAGCUACUGCCCCCGUAACCCGAUCCCGAAAAGCAGUAGAAGAUUGAUGGAUGAAAGGAAAAAAUAAAAAUGGGAAAAAAUAGGCACGAGAUUUGCAGCCCCCAAAUUCCACCAAACGUAAACAUCCUAAAAAGUAAGUACAUUUCUUUCGGCUUGUCCCGUUAGGGGUCACCACAGCGUGUCACCUCAGAUGAACGCUCAUAUUUAUUUGGCAGUUUUUACGCCAGAUUCCCUUCCUGACUCAACCCCUCUUAGGGAGUGGAUACCCAAGCAAUAACCGAACUCACGAUCCCUAGUUUACCAAACCAAUGCUCUAACCUAUUGGCUAUUGCCGUAGGACCUUCUUGGCAUCCUAUUGGCUGGGAGGGACGUCAGUCUUUACCCAUGAUGCCUUUCAAGCGUCACCGCAUCACAUCCUGUUACUUUCAUAAGGUGUCACACGCUAGCACACAUGGGUGAAGUAAAACUUUUGUGGUUAAUUUUUUUUAUUUUUUUUUUAUUCAUCUUUCUUCACCAUGGGCCCCAAGAAAAAUUUGUGGAAUGAAGUAGUGUGCAUGUGUACAUUUGUACAUAUGAUUUCUCUCAUCUGUAAUACUUUUGCUUCCUCCUGUGUCCCCCACAAUGCCUUUUGCUUCUCACUCACCCUUCUCUUCACAUAGUCGCCCAAUUACAAAGGGAAAUUAACAUAAUUUUUAUUAUUCUUGAGAUUAUGUACUUUGCUUAUUUUUGGGUGGAGUGGCUGGGAACAGAUUAAGCUACAGUGAUGGAAAUAAGUAUUUCAAGACCCUGCUAUAUUGUAAGAUCUCCCACUUAGAAAUCAUGCAGGGGUCUGAAAUUUAUCAUAGGUGCAUGUCCACUGUGAGAGAGAUAAACUAAAAAGAAAAAUCUAGAAAUCACAAUGUAUUAUUUUUUUAAGGAUUUAUUUAUGUGAUACAGCUGCAAAUAAGUAUUUGAACACCUGAGAAAAAUAAUGUUAAUAUUUGGUACAGUAGCCUUUGUUUGCAAUUACAGAGGUCAAACAUUUCCUGUAGUUGUUCACCGGGGUUGCACACACUGCUGGAGAGAUUUUGGCCCACUCCUCCACACAGAUCUUCUGUAGCUCAGACAGAUUUCUGGGCUGUCGCUGAGAAACACGGAGUUUCAGCUCCCUCCAAAUAUUUUCAAUUGGGUUUAGGUCUGGAGACUGGCUAAGCCACGCCAGAACCUUGAUAUGCUCCUUACGGAGACACUUCUUGGUUUUCCUGGCUGUGUGCUUCGAGUCAUUGUCAUGUUGAAAGACCCAGCUACGACCAAUCUUCAAUGCUCUGACUGAGGGAAAGAGGUUGUUCCCUAAAAUCUCACAAUAUAUGGCCGCUGUCAUCUUCUCCUUAAGACAGUGCAGUCGUCCUGUUCCAUGUACAGAAAAACACCUCCAAAGCAUGAUGCUACCAACCCCAUGCUUCACAGUAGGGAUGGUGUUCUUGGGAUGGAACUCAACAUUCGUCUCAUUAGUGGAAUUAUGACCAAAAAGUUCCAUUUUGGUCUCAUCUGACCAUAAAACUUUCUCCCAUGACUCCUCUGUAUCGUCCAAAUGAACAUUGGCAAACUUAAGGUGGGCCUUGACAUGUGCUGGUUUAAGCAGGGGAACCUUCCAUGCCAUGCAUGAUUUCAGACCAUGACGUCUUAGUGUAUUACCAACAGUCACCUUGGAAACGGUGGUCCCAGCGCUUUUCAGGUCAUUGACCAAGUCCUGUCGUGUAGUCAUGGGCUGAUUCUUCAUCUUUCUAAGGAUCAUUGAGACCCCACGAGGGGAUAUCUUGCAUGAGGCUCCACUCCGAUUGAGAUUGACCGUCAUGUUUAGCUUCUUCCAUUUUCCAAUGAUUGCUCCAACAGUGGACCUUUUUUCACCAAGAUGCUUGGAGAUUUCUCUGUAGCCAUUUCCAGCCGUGUGGAGUUGUACAAUUUUGUCUCUGGUGUCUUUGGACAGCUCUUUGGUCUUGGCCAUGUCACAAGUUUGAGUCUUACUGAUUGUAUGGCGUGGACAGGUGUCUUUAUGCAUCGAACGACCUCACACAAGUGCAUCUGAUUCAGGAUAAUACAUGGAGUGGAGGUGGACAUUUUCUAAUGAUUGCUCCAACAGUUAAUCUUUUUUCGUCAAGCUGCUUGGCAAUUUCUCCGUAGGUGUUCAAAUCCUUAUUUGCAGCUGUAUCACACAAAUAAAUCGUUAAAAAAAAUCAUGAAUUGUGAUUUCUGGAUAUUUCUUUUUAGAUUAUCUCUCUCACAGUGGACAUGCGCCUACUUUGAAAAUUUUAGCGCCCUCCAUGAUUUCUAACCGG